AUUUCUACUAAUGUAGUUUAAAUAAAACGUUACAUUUUCACUGUAUAAUUAAUUUCUUUAUUCAUAA
rnacentral:tRNA from 1 species